rnacentral:tRNA from 1 species
AUUUAUAUAAUAUAUAUAAAGUAUAUUUAACUUCCAAUUAAAAAGUCUAAAAAACUUAGUAUAAAUA